rnacentral:rRNA from 1 species
GACUGAUAGUGUGAGUAUAAAUGAUUAAGUUAAAUGAUUAAAAAGGUUUUUAAAAGUGAAAUUAACUAUAAUAGUAAAGGGUGAAAUUUGGUGUUUUUAGGUAGUUGAGUUUAUUUUUAAAUGUAUUUGAGGUCGUGAAGGUUUAGGUUUAAAUCAGGAUUAGAUACCCUGUUAUACUUUACUGAAAUUUUGUAAUACUUGAGUAGUAAGCAGUUAUGGUCUUUAAACUUAAAGGAUUUGGCGGUAUUUUAGUCUAGUUAGAGGAACCUGUUCUAUAAACGAUAGACCACGAAUAAUCUUACUCUUUUUAGUAAAAUCAGUUUGUAUACCGUCAUUAUCAGACGAUCUUUAUAAAGAUUCGUUAAAAUAGAAGUUUUUAAUAUAUUAGAUCAAGGUGCAGCCAAUAAGAGAGAAAGUAAUGGGUUACAUUAAUAUAAAUUUAUACGAAAUAGGAGCUGAGGAAGUGUUCUAAAGAAGGUGGAUUUAAUAGUAAUUUUAUUUUAAUAAGGUAAAAUGAUAGGGGCUCUAAGAUAUGUACACAUCGCCCGUCGCUCUCACUUUUAAUGU